AACCUUGGGGCUCCCUCCCGUGUAAAUGUAUUUGACUCCAGGAGGGGCAGAGCUUUCCUGGUUCAUUUCCAGGCCUUUAGAAAGAAGCUUUCUCCUUUUUGGAGAUUUGGUAUUGCCUGCAUUAGAGUUUGUUAGCAUUUCUUUGGAAUGGUAGAGGCACUGAGUAGCCUGUAAGUGAAAGGACGCUGAACUAUAUCUGUUUCACUGUGGUCUGAAAAUGUCUUGGCUAAAAAAGAAAUAUUUAAAGGAUUUUGAUCACUGCAUGAUAAGUAAUAAGUUAAAGUAACAGAAAGCUUCUUGAAUGAUGGAGGUGUCUGUCUGUAAGACAGACUGUGGCACGUGCCUUAGCAUGCCCUGUUAGUGUUAUGCUGUCAGAUAGAGAGCAUGUGAAAGAAUUGCUUUUCAGCAGAACCCGCAUGUGUAGGUGAACACAGUCAGCUUUCCAGAAACAAAACUCUGCAACUCUUCCCAAAGAUUAGACAUCUUGGACCUCUAUUGAUACUUCUAGACUGCUUGACACAGGAACACUCCACAAGUAGAUUUAGAAGCUGUAUGAGACUUUGCCAGUGAUUGAUCUUCAACUCUGAGAACAGAAGGUUAAAAUAGCAGGAAUCCUGGAUGAAUGUCUGUCAUUAGCAAAGCUGUCUUCUUCCAUUACUUACAUUUUGUGUCAUUCUUUGAAGUCUUUUCUGAAGAAACAUGUGCUGUCUAGCUCACAAAAUCACUAUUGAAGCUUACCAAAAUGUUAACCACUUUUACUCUCCCCUUGCUUUGCUCAGCAAACAUAGGUUUUUGAAAGAUAAAAGAAAGCAAGGAUAUAGCAGAGAAGCAGAAAUCGGUAGAACUGGCAUUAGUUUUGAAAGGAAAAGGAAGAACUCUAUUAUGUCUGAGUAAAAGCAAGGUGUAAAUAUUCAAGGUAAAACUAUUCAGCCCUUAGACGUGUAGCUAAGCAGGUCCAAGAAUUCAUUGAAUUUAAAUUAGAGAAAGCUUUAAAUUACUAAAUAACCCUUCUUUUCCCCACUGCACUGAAUGACUGCUUCUGAAUGCUUUCAGCUGUGUAACUAGGCACAUCCCAUUCUGGCUGACUUGACCAGAAUGAGCAACUAAAAUGGAAGAUCCCACUUUGUAGUCAGCCUCUCAAGGUGUCAUCUGGUGCUUAGAGUGGUUCUGACCAUGGAUGCUCCAGAUGCCAUGAUCUACACUUGAUGGUCACUAUCAAGGCAUCUAUGUGAUUAAGACAACAAGCAAAGCAGCAUUCUUUUAUUUUUAGUAUAGAGUUAUUAGUGUGUGAAUCUAAGGAACCACAUGUGAGGCUCUGUGAUGUGAAUAAUCAAGCAUUCCAGCUGCUUUUGAGUGAUCCCAGCACUGACAACUGAAAGCAGGAGGAAUUUUUCUCCAGCAUAGCACCAUUUAUGACAUCCUGUUAUGCAGCCUGAAACGAGCUCCGAUGUUCCAGUGAAAGAAAGCUCAACACUUUGUGAGGGAACAUACAUAAUCACUAAGAAUUUGGCAAAGUCAAAAGCCAAAUCCAGGGCCAUUGAUUUGACUCUCAUGUCUCAUCUAAUGUCUGCUGUUGUGUUGCUGCUUCUUAAAUUAUGGAUAUGUUCUUGGCCUGGUAGAAGGUACAGAAUACAGAUCUUCUGAAGCACAGCUGAAUUAGGGAAAAACAGAACUCUGAUGCAGUUUCUGGUGUUACAGGGUACA